UGACCACCCGGAGACGGGUCGAGGCUACACGGACGGCCGGGUCAGAUGCCGA
ncrna:unclassified sequences Streptococcus sRNA SpF59 (ldcC RNA)